GAUGAAGAACGUAGCAAAAUGCGAUAAGUAAUGUGAAUUGCAGAAUUCAGUGAAUCAUCGAAUCUUUGAACGCACAUUGCGCCCGCCAGUAUUCUGGCGGGCAUGCCUGUUCGAGCGUCAUUUCAACCCUCAAGCUCAGCUUGGUGUUGGGACUCGCGGUAACCCGCGUUCCCCAAAUCGAUUGGCGGUCACGUCGAGCUUCCAUAGCGUAGUAAUCAUACACCUCGUUACUGGUAAUCGUCGCGGCCACGCCGUAAAACCUCAACUUCUGAAUGUUGACCUCGGAUCAGGUAGGAAUACCCGCUGAACUUAAGCAUAUCAAUAAGCGGAGGA
rnacentral:misc_RNA from 1 species